rnacentral:rRNA from 1 species
UACGUAGGGGGCGAGCGUUGUCCGGAAUUACUGGGCGUAAAGGGUGCGUAGGUGGCCUUUUAAGUUGGAUGUGAAAUACCCGGGCUUAACCUGGGGGGUGCAUCUAAUACUGGAAGGCUAGAGUGCAGGAGAGGAAAGUGGAAUUCCCAGUGUAGCGGUGAAAUGCGUAGAUAUUGGGAGGAACACCAGUGGCGAAGGCGACUUUCUGGACUGUAACUGACGCUGAGGCACGAAAGCGUGGGGAGCAAACAGGG